rnacentral:lncRNA from 1 species
GGAGCACAGUUGACUGGACCAUGGAUUAGCACCUGCAUCAGAGAAGGGCAGCACUGUCCCAACCAAUGAUCUGUGGGUGACGUGGCAUGAUGUGAGAACCUCAGGAAACAGAAUGUUCUGCAUCAGAGAGAGGAGACUGGACCUGGAAGAUCUCCUUAAACGAUUCAAAGGCACAAUAACCAAGAGAGCUGAUGAUGUCUGAAGUCCAGCAGACUUGCAACCCGAAAGAGCUGAUAUUUCAGAUGGAAGAAACCCAUGUCACAGUUUGAAGGCAUCCAAGCAAGAAAAACUCUGUCUUCUUACUUAGAG